GACGAACGCUGGCGGCGUGCUUAACACAUGCCAGUCGAACGGAAAGGCCCUGCUUUUGUGGGGUGCUCGAGUGGCGAACGGGUGAGUAACACGUGAGUAACCUGCCCUUGACUUUGGGAUAACUUCAGGAAACUGGGGCUAAUACCGGAUAGGAGCUCCUGCUGCAUGGUGGGGGUUGGAAAGUUUCGGCGGUUGGGGAUGGACUCGCGGCUUAUCAGCUUGUUGUUGGGGUAGUGGCUUACCAAGGCUUUGACGGGUAGCCGGCCUGAGAGGGUGACCGGCCACAUUGGGACUGAGAUACGGCCCAGACUCCUACGGGAGGCAGCAGUGGGGAAUAUUGCACAAUGGGCGGAAGCCUGAUGCAGCAACGCCGCGUGCGGGAUGACGGCCUUCGGGUUGUAAACCGCUUUCGCCUGUGACGAAGCGUGAGUGACGGUAAUGGGUAAAGAAGCACCGGCUAACUACGUG
rnacentral:rRNA from 1 species